GCCUUGACACCCAGCGAUAUGACAAGAGCGAUAAUCUUAGAGAAUUGAAGGAGCCUGUCUUGCUGAGUUGCUCUGUAGAAAUCAUAGCUGAAGCUUGUGGAAAACCUCGCCAAAAACGUGACCCUAAAAGGCAAGGUGUCGUGAAGAUUGUUGCGAACUAUAUUCAAACUACAAAUUGGCUCAUAAUCUGAGAUCAUCCUGGGUUACAUUCAACAGGGUACAGGUCUUGAUUUCUUGCUGGGGAACAGUUCCUCACACUCACCAGGCUCUCCAGUACCUCCCAUAGGUGGUCAUUAUUCUUACAUGUGUCAUGACAGUGUCAAAGGCCAUUUGGUCAUAAGAAACAUCACAGUCAACCCAAAUCCUGGCCUCACCCGAUGACCACUCACAGCUAUUUCAUGCAGGGGAUGCUGGGUAAUACAAACUCUGGCCAAUUUUUUCCAUUCUUUAAGCCAGGAACGCUGAGUCCGAUUACAACUGCCACCCUGACUGAGAUCACUAAAUUGGCACUGGUCAAACAUAGGACCUUUCUAGUCUGUAUGGUUCAGCUACUAACUGGUUGGAUUGAAAGCCAUUGGGAAAAGGCUGCUUGAUAUUUGCAAAAGUAUAUAUGGAAAUUGCAACAUUGC